rnacentral:lncRNA from 1 species
AAUUAAUUAUGCCAAUUUUCAUUCAACCAUGUUUAUUUUGGGGGACAAAUAAGUUCUGUAGGGCGGGCACUGUCCACCUACGCUUGGGUGUACAAGCGUCAUGCUCUCACAAAAUGAGCUACAUGACAAAAUAAUGCCAUCACAGUUUUUUGUUUGACAUACAUUGAAUAAAAAAAAAAAAAAAACAUAAAUAUUCUUGGGGUGAGCAAUGACCUCCCUGAUAUCAAGAACUCAUGACAGCCUACAGUUGCUAGGUAACUUGCAAGACAGGUAGGAAGUAGGCUACUCAACAUCAUCAUUAGCUACCGGCUUCCGGCUGCAGAAGGAAACUUUUGUCUGAGUGCUCUUAUUGGAGUGUUGUAAGUAACAGAUUAAAUAAUUUUUUUGUCAUUUUUGCAUGCUAAAUAUAACAGUCUUGACGUAUUUACUUAUUUUAUAUUUUAGUUAUUAUUCUCAAACCUUUUCUGAUAUAGUUUAUAUUACUUCAACCAGCUAAUCCAAAUGUCUAAUCAUUGAUUUUCAUGUCAUUGGCUGCUGUGCUUUCUCUAGGCUAGUUUUAUAAUAUGUAGGGCCAGCCAUUACUGUAUUUCUUUUAACACCUAUUCAAUUGAACUAGCUGUCUAGAAUCUAGUCAAUUCCUCUAAUGAAGUCAAGGGGUAUUAAAUAGUGGCUUUGGUUCUUAUUAAGAAACAGAGAGGAUAUUUUUCUGGGCUGCCAUGGGUAAUCAGAGUGGAAACAAAACAGUGAUGAGGGUUUGUAUGUCUGUUAGUCUAGUGGAGUGGCACCGUGGUUUAAUUCAUGGUGGUUCCACUCAAUAACAGAUACUGGUGUAGGAUGUCUGCCAUGCAUUGGGAAGCCCGGCGCCGGCAGGCCAUGGUUGACCGCAGAAUGUCCAGAGCCAAGCAGCAGAUGGCAAAGGACCCUCCGGAGCAAAGCUCAAAGCCAGAGGCAGAGGCUAAGGCACCGACUCAACAGCCAGCUGGGAACGAAUGUCCAAAUUGCAGCAAAAACAACUUAAUGAACUUGACAACAUACAACGCUAAGAUUGAAAAUAGAUACUCAUCCAUACAGUACUCUCAGCAAUGGUGAAGACUCCUUAUCCAGUCUAAUGAAGAAGACCCAUAUGCAAAAGAGGCUGAACUAAUAACUAAUGAACUAAUAAAAUAUAAUUGUUAAUAUAAUUGUGUAGCUUAUCCCACUACUUCUAGCAGUAUUAUUUAUAUUUGAGUAGUAUAUUAUAUUUCAGGACAUUUUCCACACACAGAUUGAGUGAAAAAGAGUAAGGGAUGGUAAGUUCAACUCUUUUUCACAUAUAUCUUUUCGAGCCUUCUGUAAAAAUAAAUGUUGAGACAUUUCGUUCAUUAGUGUCAGUAAAGGCUUGGGCAUGCUGUGUAGUUAUGAGGGAAUGCUUACCAAUUGCAACACUUUGUGAAUGGAUUACAACACCCUUUUAUGGCGAAUUGUGUUCUCAGUCUUUUCGAGUAUGCGUGUUCCAGAAAUAAAAAAUAGUCUAAUUGUUCAGGAAACUUCACCAUCUGGCAACACUGCUUCCAGCAAUUCUACAGGAUUGGGUUGGGCAAAUCACAUCUCAACUAAUCGCACCAUACUGCCCCCUAGUAAUAUUACUGAGUUUGAGUAAUCAAAAAGUUACGUUACGGAUUACAAAUGUGGACAGGUAACUUGUAACGGAUUACAUUUAAAAGUAUAAACUUGAAUUUGGGCAUGUGUAGAAAUACCCUUUAAAUUACCAACACUAGUACAUUUACGUAUUAACAUUUAUUCACAAGUUAGUAUAUCUUCCAUGUCCAUAGUGUUUAGCUGAAUGCAGAUGCACGGACACUAAAUGCACUUUGCGUAGCACGCAAUAAUGUUUUGGAAACAUAUGGAAAGUAUAUCCCAUUCGAUCAUUGCAGUUGAAAAUCUAAAUCUAAUGAUGCUUAAGCUUGUUGAUAUGUGUUUUAUUCAUGUUUUUCAUUGCUUCAAAACAUUUUUGAAAAGUAAAUGGCAAUUACUCGAAAAGGGUAUUGACAUUGUUGUAUAUAAAAUUAAGAUAUCCGUAGCUUUUCACGCAUAAACUAAAUCUGCAGUAGUCUGAUGAUUUGCUCCACAACCAACAUUGUCAAAAUGUUGCAGUAACCCCCUGCACACGAAUGCACAUUUGCAACCCUGAACACCUGCAUAGAAAUAAGAUUUACCCGCGCAAAAGUAACCUGCGAUUAUUAUGGCUACCAGUGAUGGAUUUUCAAAACGCAAAUGAAAGAAAUAAACGGUGAUUAUAAACCUGCACUCUUAGCUUAAAGUAAAUGACGUCAGCAGCCAAUGAUAACCAAUGAACACAAUUUUCAGAGAUGCAAAGCAAGCAGUAUCACAUGGCCUACCUGCAUGGACGGAUGUGGCAGCGAGGUAAAGUUAGUUUUAUAAUGGACAUUCAGUGGAAAUUCCUAUUCACCCGUCAAAAACCAACUAAUUUAGGGCAAU